rnacentral:rRNA from 1 species
CGUGAGAUGUUGGGUUAAGUCCCGCAACGAGCGCAACCCUUGUCAUUAGUUGCUACAUUCAGUUGGGCACUCUAAUGAGACUGCCGGUGACAAACCGGAGGAAGGUGGGGAUGACGUCAAGUCCUCAUGGCCCUUAUAGGUGGGGCUACACACGUCAUACAAUGGUUGGUACAAAGGGUUGCCAACCCGCGAGGGGGAGCCAAUCCCAUAAAGCCAGUCGUAGUCCGGAUCGUAGUCUGCAACUCGACUCCGUGAAGUCGGAAUCGCUAGUAAUCGUGAUCAGA